rnacentral:rRNA from 1 species
CACGUAGGGGGCAAGCGUUGUCCGGAUUUAUUGGGCGUAAAGAGCUCGUAGGCGGCUUAGUAAGUCGGGUGUGAAACCUCCAGGCUCAACCUGGAGACGCCACCCGAUACUGCUGUGGCUAGAGUCCGGUAGGGGAGCGUGGAAUUCCUGGUGUAGCGGUGAAAUGCGCAGAUAUCAGGAGGAACACCGGUGGCGAAGGCGGGUCUCUGGGGUAGUAACUGACGCUGAGGAACGAAAGCGUGGGUAGCGAACAGG